GACGGUCUCGUCCGCCGUCACGUCCCGAACGGGCCGUUGUCGGAGGUCCGUGCGUCUUCCCGAGAGUCUGGGAUUUUGUUUCUUGCGCUUCGUCGUUGUAGCUUGUCGUCAGGUCGCAGCAGUCCUUGUUUCCACGUCACCGACUCACGUCAGUCGCAGGGCAGAAAACCGAUCACCUUUGCACCGUCACUGAACUCACGCUGCCUACACCCAAGUCAGGACAAUGGAAGACUCCACCGUCAGUGACUAUUAGGCUAAUUUUCAUAUCAUUUGAUCAAUAACGGUAACAAUAUGGCCCACUGAAUUUCCUUUUGAAAAGCAAUCAAUUUGACCGAUAUGGAAGAUCAUUUUCCAAUAUUAUGAAUUAAAAGUUUCCAUGGAAAUUGUUUCCAACUCUGAAUGUCAAAAUGUCUUUUGCCAAAUGAAGUUUGAUGAUUUCCGACAUGCUUUGUGACGACGCGCCGGACAUUUUUGCAUGUACGUAAGCACCGCAAGUUUUGAAGUCUGUUUUGAAGUCCAGUCCAGGUUAGAAAAAAAAGGUCCUUUCCACUUUGAAAUGAGAUUUCUUGCACUGUACGCUGUUUUAAUUGGAUUUUUUUCUCUUUGUUUUAAAUGUUUAUAAGCUCUUUUUUUUCUUUUUUCUUUUUCUAUGCUUUGAACCAUGUAAAGCACAUUGUGCGCUAUAUGAAUACAUUUGCUAUGCUUUAUCGGAUUUUGUCUCCUCUUUUCCAUGAAAACUAAAAUCAAUUCAUCUUAGCGUCCAAAGACCUCUUUUUUGUUGUUGUUGUCUUUAGCGUUCAUCGUUAAUGCCUCAGGAUGUUGCUGCAAUACACCAGAGGGAUCUGUGAUGAGGCAGCCAUUUUACAUUCACACUUCAA